rnacentral:pre_miRNA from 1 species
AGUGGGAUAACUGGAUCAAAUGGUGGCUCCAUUCCAGGUUUUCUAAGGAAUUUCUAUACUGCUUUCCAGAAUGGUUGUACCAGUUUGCAAUUACACCAGCAAU